AGAGUUUGAUCAUGGCUCAGAUUGAACGCUGGCGGCAUGCUUUACACAUGCAAGUCGAGCGGCAGCGCGGGGGCAACCCUGGCGGCGAGCGGCGAACGGGUGAGUAAUGCAUCGGAACGUGUCCAGAAGUGGGGGAUAACCCGGCGAAAGCCGGGCUAAUACCGCAUAUUCUCCACGGAGGAAAGCGGGGGAUCGCAAGACCUCGCGCUUUUGGAGCGGCCGAUGCCCGAUUAGCUUGUUGGUGGGGUAAUGGCCUACCAAGGCGACGAUCGGUAGCUGGUCUGAGAGGAUGAUCAGCCACACUGGGACUGAGACACGGCCCAGACUCCUACGGGAGGCAGCAGUGGGGAAUUUUGGACAAUGGGGGAAACCCUGAUCCAGCCAUGCCGCGUGCGGGAAGAAGGCCUUCGGGUUGUAAACCGCUUUUAGCUGGGAAGAAAAGAUCACGGAUAACACCCGUGGUUCUUGACGGUGCCGGCGGAAUAAGCACCGGCUAACUACGUGCCAGCAGCCGCGGUAAUACGUAGGGUGCGAGCGUUAAUCGGAAUUACUGGGCGUAAAAGCGUGCGUAGGCGGUUCGUUGUGUCUGUGGUGAAAGCCCCGGGCUUAACCUGGGAAUUGCCAUGGAAACUGGCGAGCUUGAGUGUGGCAGAGGGGGGUGGAAUUCCGCGUGUAGCAGUGAAAUGCGUAGAGAUGCGGAGGAACACCGAUGGCGAAGGCAGCCCCCUGGGCUAGCACUGACGCUCAGGCACGAAAGCGUGGGGAGCAAACAGGAUUAGAUACCCUCGUAGUCC
rnacentral:rRNA from 1 species